CUUAUUUUUAUACGGCCGCAAAAAAAUUUUUGUGGUCGUAUAUUGGUAUGACGUUGGCGUCGUCGUCGUCGUCGUCCGGCGUCGUCGUCCGGCGUCGUCGUCCGAAUACACAUUAGUUUUCGCACUCUAACUUUAGUUUAAGUGAAUGGAUCUCAUUGAAAUUUUACCAUAAGGUUCAAUACUACAAAAGGAAGGUGGGGAUUGAUUUUGGGGGUUAUGGUACUAACAGUUAAGGAAUUAGGGGCCAAAAGGGGCCAAAAAUAAGCAUUUUUGUAACUUCCAGACAUAACUUGUGUGUAAGUGUAUGGAUCUCUCUGACAUUGUACCACAAGGUUCCAUAUCACAAAGGGAAUGCUGGGAUUGAUUUUGGGGGUAAUUGUCUCCAAAUUUUAGGAAUUAGGGGCCAAAAAGGGGCAAAAAACAAGCAUUUUUCUAGUUUCAUGACAAUAACUUGUUUGUAAGUGUAUGGAUCUUUAUGAAAUUGUACUACAAGGUUCCAUAUCACAAAGGGAAGGCUGGGAUUGAUUUUGGGGGUUUUCCCUCAAAAUUUUAGUAAUUAGGGGCCAUAAAAGGGCAAAAAAAACAUGCAUUUUUCUAGUUUCAGGACAAUAACUUGUGUGUAAGUGUAUGGAUCUUUAUGAAAUUGUACUGCAAGGUUCCAUAUCACAAAGGGAAAGCUGGAAUUGAGUUUGGGGGUAAUUGCCCUAAACGUUUAGGAAUUUGGGGCCAAAAAGGGGCCAAAAAACAAGCAUUUUUCUAGUUUCCAGACAAUAACUUGUGUUCAAGUGUAUGAAUCUCUCUGAAAUUGUACUGCAAGGUACCAUACCACAAAGGGAAAGCUGGGAUUGAGUUUGGGGGCGAUGAAUCAUAAGGGGGUUCAAAAAAUUGGGGGGGGGGAUUUUUUUUUUCCUUUUUUUUCUUUAACAUUUUCCAUUUUAAAUUGGUUAUUUCUGAUUUAUAUAUAAAAGCAAAUAAUAAUGAUAUGGUUUGAAUAGGCAUACAUGUGAACCUCCCGACGGGAGUACAAUAAUCCCGUUUUCAGGGGUCUCCUCCCCCCCUCCCGUUGAAAAAAUCCCGUGUAUGAAAUUUUUCAUGAAUGAAAAAUUUCUGCCCAACAUAACAUCUCAGGCAUCUGGUGUAACUGACAUUACCUGAAGUUAUAUUUUACCUGUAAAUCAAUUAACAUGCAUAAUUAUAUGGCUUCACUUGUCAGCUUGGGUGUCAAACAUACUGGUAAGCAACGAUUUUUACCUCAGGCUAACUGCCGUUGUGUAACAAAAACUGUGUAUUUAUUGGGUUACUUCCCUUGAUUUAUCCUGUUUUAAGUUACUUUCCUUUUAAUAAUGAAAAUUUUUAAAAGAAUAUAAAUAAAAUAUAAAUUGAACAAAUAAUCAUAAAAGGAUGGUUAUUAAAUGAUUUUAAAUGUCUUAGGACAAAUAAAAAAAUAAUAAUUUGAAAAUUAUUUGAGGAUUCUAUACUUCCUUUUAAGGCUUAAAUUGAAAUUUAUAUAAUAACUAUGACCCUAACUUUACAGAUAGAAUGAAUUUCUGAGUUUGCAAAUAAAAACUAUUUGCAAGAGAGAAAAAAAAAAAAAAAUAAAAACUAUUUGCAGACAGCUAAACAAAUGUUCUGGUUGCAAUGAUUGUUUUAUAGAAUAUGAAGUAAAAAAAUUAAAGAACAUACUGGAAAAAAACAAUGUUAGAUUGAACAUGUAGAAUAUAAAGAUGGAGAAACUUUAUAAGUACAAGGGUACUAUAAACAUAAUAAAUUGGUUGGAAAGUUGAAGAAAACACACUUUAAAAGACCAUUUUUACAGCACACGGUUACAUUUACAACAAAAUUAAUGUCGAUUAAAAACCUCCUGAUCUGAGUCCUAAUCUCCUGACCAAAAUUUCCCAAUCUCCUGAUCUGAGUUUCACAGUCCAUCACAUGUAUGAAUAGGUAAAUUGAAAAUUUUUAAGUUCUUAGACCACUUUCAUUCUGUGUCAGAAACCUAUGCUGUGUCAAAUAUUUAAUUACAAUCCAAAUUCAGUGCUGUAUCAAGCUUGAAUGUUGUGUCCAUACUUGCCCCAACUGUUCAGGGUUCGACCUCUGCGGUCGUAUCAAGCUGCGCCCCAGCGGAGCAUUUUAUUUUAUAUAUGCUUUAGGAUAAAGAUGGAAAAUGAUACACAUUUGACAAAAUUUAUUGUAAGAUGCCUUUCAAUGUUUGCUUCAAUGAUUUCAUACUUAAAACUUUAGUUAUACAUGUAUCAGUGUUCUCCCCAUGGCCUUUUUAUCAUCAUGGUAAUGUGAUGCUUAAUUGCUUGAAAGUUUAUUCUAUCUGAAACAAUUUUCUAUAUAUUGUGUUCAUGGUGUUACAUGUCAUGCAUGUAUGGAUGUGAUUCUAUAAUUUCUAAAAUCAAGUUUAAGAUGUUACACCUGUAUGUAUUUCAAUAUUCCUUGUUUUACCAGGAGGAACACAAAAGACUGUACAUAUGUAUAUGUAAGUGUUCUUUCAAAAAGUUUCCAUGAUCUUAAAAUAAUUGAAACAUUAUUUUUUUUCUAAAAUAUUUCUGUUAUACAUGUUAUGUAAAAGUGCUUUGUGAGAUGCAUAUGUAUAAUUCAUUACAUGUACAGCUAGCUUGUAAAGCAAAGAUUAGGCAAUUCAAUAUAAAAUGAUGUAUUUGUCCUCAAACAUGUUUUGAUUGUAUUUAUUCUCAUGUAUUACAAUAUGUAGAUGAAAAUAUUGCAAAUUUUCUACAUGAACAUGAUGAAAUUAAUUUAUUUUUUGUAAUUGUUUGUUUUCGUGUGAUCCAGUGGUUAUAAUAUAUAUGAAACAUGUUAUCAAAAUAAAUUAUACUGAAAGCUUU